rnacentral:antisense_RNA from 1 species
UGGGCUGCCAGGCAGUUAGGCCUAUGGAGAGCUGCUGUCAGUCUCUCUAGGAGGCCAUGGUUUCCUGCAUGUGGGGGAGAGCCCCAUCCCCCAGACUCUGGAGUGAGUUUAAUUUCCCAAGGCAAGUCUGCCUGAUUGUCCUCUCCUUUCCUUACCUUCAGCACCAAGAAGUUUCCGGUCCCGGUACAGAUCAGUGAGGAAGAGGCUAUUGACAAGUGUGGAUUUGCCCAGGCCAGACUCUCCUGAGAGGAGAGAGGACAGAGGCACCAAAUCAGAAGGGACCCUUCUCUGGGCUGUCUGAUAGUCUGCAGAGACACAGCUGCUUCCGUGCUCUGGGAGAGAGGGACUCCUUGGAGAUCUGAUCUCACUAGUAGUCGUAAUUCUUUGGAUGGGCUCAGUUUGUACUGCUUCAUCCUUUGGAGAAGGCUCCAGACCCUCCUUUACUCUCCCGAGAUUCUAGAAAUUCUCAGGACUCAUCCAGAGAAGGAAUCAGCCAGAAGAUCCUAUGAAGACAAGAUCAAACCAAACACGCUGUGUUAGCCCCAGUUUUAAUAAGAAAUCUGACUGAAAACAAAUGGUUGAAUGUGCUGCUAACAGAGAGGGCCAAACGAUGAUGUCUAUUGUGGCAGCUGAACAAAGUGAGACUUACAGAACUGGAACUGCUGCCCUGACAGCAACUGAAGCAGAAAGAGAAGAAAGGAGCUUACAGCCAGGACACUCAAACU